rnacentral:rRNA from 1 species
CCUACGGGGUGCUGCAGUGGGGAAUAUUGGACAAUGGGCGAAAGCCUGAUCCAGCCAUGCCGCGUGUGUGAAGAAGGCCUUCGGGUUGUAAAGCACUUUCAGUGGGGAAGAAAGCCUUGGGGCUAAUACCCUCGAGGAAGGACAUCACCCACAGAAGAAGCACCGGCUAACUCCGUGCCAGCAGCCGCGGUAAUACGGAGGGUGCGAGCGUUAAUCGGAAUUACUGGGCGUAAAGCGCGCGUAGGCGGUCUGAUAAGCCGGUUGUGAAGGCCCCGGGCUCAACCUGGGAACGGCAUCCGGAACUGUCAGGCUAGAGUGCAGGAGAGGAAGGUAGAAUUCCCGGUGUAGCGGUGAAAUGCGUAGAGAUCGGGAGGAAUACCAGUGGCGAAGGCGGCCUUCUGGACUGACACUGACGCUGAGGUGCGAAAGCGUGGGUAGCAAACAGGAUUAGAUACCCUGGUAGUC